CUUUAUCAGCGCUUAAUUGCCGGUUUCAUCAUGGAAAAGAAGCACCAAAAUACCUUUAUUUCGCUGCAAAAUAAGCCGUAUCUUUACGCUUAUAGAACUCGGACCUGACCAGCUAACGAAAGACAGGGAGGAAUUACACUCGUUCUUUCUCCAGGAGCUGGUAUGAGAAGAAGGACUGGCUAACUGGUUGUCAUGUUUUGUUUCCCCUGCCUCCUCUUUCAGAUGCCGGACAUCGAACAAGCCUGGAUUCAUACAGAUGCUUCGUGUACCAGUCCCUGACACGCAGCUGCCCUAUUGACUUGAAAAGAGCAGAGGCUGAGAGCAGCAACGGUGGCCCAGAAAAGCUCAACGAUCCGAAACGGCAGCAGCAGAGGCGUGUUUGGAGAGGAGGGGUGGAGAGAGGAUGUUAUGGAAGUGUUUGAUAAUAACAGGCAUAUUGUCAAGCUUACUUUGGAGAAAGCAAGGGAACUGGAUCGGAUCCCCACAAUAUCCCCCCCCCCGCUACGGAGAAACACGGAUGCCUCUAAAUAAGGGGGCAGUAUCCUUGGAAUUCAACUUGGCGCCAUUUCAGAUCCUCCUUUUCCCCUGCUUCGUUCAAGAUGUUUUCCAUUCGCAGGUUGAGCUAUGUCUUCCGUCUAUCUCAAGGAUAUUUAUCCAGGGGCUAAAAUAUUGGGAGAAAAGUGCUGCGUGGGGGCAGGGAGUAAUAGCAUUCCCUUGAAUAUAUGGUGAAUGAGGGUCCUUCAACAAGUGUCGUGUUUACACUGCUGGUGGGAAAACAAAUCGACACAGGCGGCGUCUGAGGGGGCCGUAAAACAGCUCUUUAGACGCGAGCACGGCUUGGAUUCCAGGCAGCAAGCGCAGCAGUGUGACCCCAAGGUGUUGAGAGUAAAUAUAUGGUGUUACCUUUAGGCUAAAUAGGGGCAAAAGCACACAGCGAUUGAAGUGCUCAUCAGUGACAACACAGAGUGAGUAUUUUACCUCUCAGCAGCGAAAAACGAGAACAAGUAAUAACACUUAAAAUCUCUGUAAAUGAUGUAUACAGUCGAGGCUGUGGCACCAGUGUGGGUUUUGGAUGUUGUUACAGAAACAUGAUUCCAUCCGCAAACUUCUUUACUGAGGAGGUCAUUAUUAAUAGGAAGACAAUUCCUUAUACAUGAAAACAUAUGGGGAAGUUAGACUGACUGAAUGGACUAUUACAGCCAUUUGAUCAAUGCAUCAGGCCACUAAAGAGAAACCAUUUGAAACUAUUGAACCAGUUAGAAUCCUAAAAAAAAAAAAAAAAAGGAAAGAAAAAAAAAUUUAAAACCCCUUUAGAGUUGAACAGGAUUACCUUUGGGAAUGUGUUUAGAAAUGUCUCUUCAAUGCAUAGUGAAAUUAUUAAGAUGGAACGAGAACAGGUUACUCUAAUUAUUAUUUAUUUAUUUACUUUCUGUCAUUUGUUUAAUUCUCUAUGCACUCCGAUCACAUACGUUCCUCCAAGUACCACCAGAGGAAGCUCACGUACCACUGGUGGUACACGUACCACAGUUUGAGAACCAAGGAUCUAAACAAUCAAGUUAAAGACCAAAAAUAAAUGAUGCAAUGUUUUGUGCUGUACCGAUACUGUAUCUCAUUUUCCUCAUAUUUUAUAUUUUCAGAAUCAGAAAACUUUUAUCAUCCCAGAGGAAAUUUCAAUACAGUUUCAUUACAAUUGCUCCAUGCUAGAAUCAAUAACUUACAGAAAGAAAGUAAACAAACCACCAUAGUAAACCUUCUAAUUAGAAGCUUACAAGAAGAGCACAACAAAUAAACAAAUUAAAUUAAAGAGCACCAAAAAGAGCGCAAUUUUUUUAAAUUUAAAUAGUACAAAAACCCUUGUUUCUGUCGAUUUCUUGUCAUAACUAAACUUAUUCUUAUUAUUCCAUUUAUUUAGGGACUCCACAUGUGUCUGGCUGGUAGUUUUUGUUUCUUUCAUGCACUUUUACAUUCUGUCCAAAUUUUCUUGGACAGAAUUCUGUCCAUUCUUGUCCAAAAUAAAAGCCAGGUGACAAGCAAACUAAUUACAAGCUUAUUAUACAUGUUGUUUAGCUAGAGUAUAUAGCAACAUCAGAGCUACAGUAGAUUGCACAUUAUGGUCUGACUGCCAAACUCUUUAGAUGACAUAUUUUGUACAUUUUGGUUUACAAUGCCCGUCUCUUCUCACAUCAUUUAAACCCUUGUGAAAAGUUUGAUUGGAGUAUGCAUAACUACGUGUUUAGAUGUUAUAGUUAUCUUUUGGGCUGGAAUAUUUUUGCUGGAAAACAUACAUUUUAAUAGUGGAGUCUGGAGCAGAAUCUUGAAAGAGCUUAGCAAUCGACUCCUGCUAGAAAAAAAUAAAAAUAAAGCAGUAACACAAGCAAAUGAAAGGCAUUUUAUUUCUUUACAGCUCUACAAGAGCCCAAAAGCACCGUGAGCUUUGUUACUCAGGCUCAACCUGAUGUUACUGUUGGCUUUAUCAUCUUUGACUCUGUCUUGUAAGCCUGUAUGUGUGGUGAUGGUGUUCUGAGUCUCUCUCUCCCUCUGUGUGGAUGUAGAAUGUGCUUGACCUUUGCCUGUGAGAGAGUAGAUGCAGUGGAAGAGUGAUAACACUGUGUGGUCCUCUAAUCUGCUCACUUAGCCUUGGCUUUGGGGCUCUCUUCGCUCUGCUUCAUCUGAAGCUCCCUCAUCACAAACUGUUGGCAGUUUCCUCACAGCCUGAAGUCUGACUGCGUUCACUCCCACUUCCUCCACUCGCUGUCUCUGUCGCUGUUGUGACGGCCCUCCUGCUCCAGCAGGGCCUGCUGUGCUUUUUUGAGUUGUCCUGGUUCUGGUCUCUGUCAUUUGCCUUGCAGGUAGGUGGGCGGAGUUAAUUGACUCAAUUGGGAGCACCUUGAUGCCUCGUGUACAGGAGACUUGCAGACUACAGCUCCUCUCAUUGUGCACUCAAAUGUGUUCGCCAAGCCUCAGUGAGAGUAAGCACUGUUCCAGAUGGAGAUGAAGACACGGGGACAGUCCAAAGAACAUCUGAUGUGCUGUGAUUUCAGUUCUUUCUCAACUCUUCCUCCGUAGCGCCUCCUCGAGCUGUCGGCACCCUGGUUUCGGAGGGUUUCCCUCAGGAAGGAGAGGUCCAUGUUCUGGACACAGACACGUAGAAGCAGCCCGAUAACCUCUGAGCCAAGUGCUACACUGCCAGGUGACAUGAAGCAGAUGUCCCUCUCACCCUUUUGUCUUUGGGAACAGGAUACCCAAACACAAAUACUAGAGGAUGUCAGCAGAGCCCCUUCUGCUACUCGCUACUGAGAAGGUGUGGCCUGAUGUUUGUUUCAGACUUUGGGAGCUCCAGAAAUUGUUAUGAAAACAUUUGUGCGUCACUGUGGCGUGUUUUGUUCUAUAUAUAUUGUUGAAGGCAUGGCCUUAAAAUGGAGAGACAGAAAUGAAUAAUGAAAGAUGUUCACUUUAUUAGAGGAUAAGGUGGAUUGUGACUAAUUACAGAGUAUUCCCUGUAGUAUUAGCAUGCCUAAUACAGUACUCAUUUUAGAAAUGCAUCCAUACAAACACUGAAUAUCUAUAGACAUUAAUUUUCCAUAAAGCAAAUGUGAUUUUUUUUUGUAGUGUACAUGCAGCUCAGACAAACCCAGUCGUCCCAACAUGUAAUGUCACGGGCAGUUUUAGUGCUAGAAUCUUCAGGAAAUUAUGUAAUAUAGGUUAUCACAGGCGCACGCACACACAUACACACACACACUAACACACAAACACCGGUCAGCCCCCUGGGGGAGAAAGGUGGAGUUGAGCAAGCACAGAGACCUUACAGCCCCGUGACCUCAUUACUAUUCAGAACCAGCGGUGAGAAGAUGAGUGGUGCUGUGUUCCCAGUACAGCUCACCCCCAGCACGAGAAGAUGAUGUGCACGGAUGGGUGUGUGCGUAUGGGUAAGCAGUAGUUUCCCCCUGAACUCCAUCCUCACCCCCCCUCUCCCCACACACACACACACACACACUUCCUCCUGGGAGAUAGGAGGCCUCUGCUUUCUGUCAGGGUGUCCUCAGCAACAGACCCCUGGGGCCUCUCGCUUGGUGGGAAUCUGGUCUGCUCACUUCACAGAUGCCCCCGCCCCCUACAGAUGAGAAGGAAAACAAGACCUGAGGAAGACUCUGCGGCUCAUCGUCCGCUAUCUCCGUCCAUAUUUUUCUUUGCUGUCUCCCCCCUACGACCCGUCCCCUUCUCUUCCUUUUUUCGUCUGUCAAGGUGGUCGAUAACGUUAAUUGGCUCACUCAGUCACUGGUACAUUGAUUGCGGUCACUAAUAAAAGGGCUAUUGAUCGGCACUUUGUUUAACACUGGCCCAUGCGGUGAGAUCUGCCCUCUAAUACCAUCCUGACAACAACCUUUUCCUGUUUGUCAGUUUCGUAAUGUCAUAAAUUAUGUCAGUCGAUUAAGGAGGUUUUUGCCCUGUUAAUGCAAGGACACUUUUAGAUUAUGUCACCUGAAGGCAGGAGUGAAGCAGCCCCUGCACAAUACCUGCAGCCAUAUGCUUGGUAAUCACACAGAGGUGGAAUAACUCCCCAGACUGAGUGACCCUAAUACACUGAGUUUUGCACGUGUGCUUUAGCUUCUGAUACGUUUCCAGCUUGGUUUUUAUACCUGGCAACCUCACAAACGAUUCUGCCUCUCUUGAUAUAUUGUCAGUCGGUUGUAUAACUCUUCCUCGCAUUUCCAACACACACAAAUAAAGUAAAGGUACGGGAGCAACGGAACAGAACGUAUGUUGUUAUAUGGCACACAUGCCCUACAACAGGAACAUCAUGUCCUGUCAGUGUUGCCUCAAAUGAUGUGAUUUGUAAACGUACUGUACAUGGACAGAUAGUUUUGUAAUAAAAAACUGCAUCACUGACGGGAAGAAGAACAAAAAACAGUGACCAAAGGGUAGAUGGGUUUAAGGGAGUUGAAAUAAUAACUUAACAUGGCAUUGAUGUUUUUACACCACAUAGGUCAUGCGUUUCAGCAGUAACUGCAUAAUCCGUAGUGUUAUUAUAUUCAAAAGUCACACACAGUGCUAUAUAAAAACAAAAUUAGAAUCACUACCAUCAUUGUUAUUAUAAUCAAUAUUGUACAGAACCAUCCUUAUUUUCCCCCUGUGAGGACAACACAAGUUAGCAGGAAAUAGUUGCAAUAUUCUCGACGUGAGUUCAAUAUCUAGAUCUGUUGCAAUUAGCUGUAUGCUUCUUUUUUUUUCCUCCACACUGCUCAGUCCUUAAGCUUCAGUGAGUCAAAGGCAGGUCUCCUGAGUAAAGCGAUGAAGACUGGAAAAAGGGUGUAAGUACCUCCAUGAGAGAUUUAAUUACCCCCAUUAAAUAUUCAAUGAUCAAUAGAAUCUGUUUAGCCGAUCAAUAGGUGGCCAGGCCUGAGAAGGACAAUGUGCACAAGUUACUAUUUGCAUUUCAAAGCAGCUUGUGUCACGUGGCCCCAUUGGAAAUCCAUACCAUUUUGUUAGGCUGUAUUUCAUAUUUAGUUGCUUUAUCCCCUUAUCACUGACUGCUAUUGAUUCCCUUCCCUUUAUUUACUGCCCACAAACUGCUUCAGGUUUAAAAUGUCAAAAUGUUUUUUUGGGGGGAAUCUGAUGUACCUCCAUUUGCCUUCCACCACCUAUAUCUAGCUCUUUAUUUAUCUCCCCCUCUCUCUUUAAUUCCCUUGUCUCUCGUUCCUCUCUCCCUCCUUCACUCUCACUACUUCUCUCAGUAGAGCUGGAAAUUAAACCCUGUCAUCUUGCCACCCACCUUACAGAUCUCUGCUCACUCGGGUGUGAAUCUGCACAUUAUUCAAAUAAAUAUCCCAGGACUGUCAGGGGAAUACUCAGAGCCACUUCAAAGACACCCACUUCUCCCCCCCCCCCCAACACUUCAGUCUUGCUUGUUCCUGCUGGAGAACCAUUUUGUUUACCUGAACCAGAUUUAAUGGCUUGUUUUUCCUGGGACCUAUGUUCAAGAGCAACAUUUAGCCAAGUUCAAGUGCAUGCAUGUUCAGGUCACUUUUAUUGUUCUGCAACACUAAACGCGAUGGUGUUUAUAUCUCUCUCUGUUUUCCCUUCCAUCAGUUCAUUAACCCUAUUAUUCACCCCUAGCUUUGUGUCCUCUUUCUUUUCUACUGUUUUCCAACCCAAAAUGUCAUAUGCAUAGAUUCGAAGUUCAUACUUUACUGUUGAAUUUAAUUGUUUUAACAAUUGUUUGUUUUAUCAAAAUCAGUAAAUCGAGCUCGUUUAAAAUAAUUCUCAAUAAUCUAAUUCAGAUAUCAUAUGGCUAAUAUGUCAUUCAAAAAUAUAAAACAUCCACAGAAAUGUACAUAUACACUGCAGUAAGUACACACACCUGCAUCAGAAGAAAAUGACAUCAGUUAGGAUGCAAUAAAUAUUACCACAUGUUGGUGCGCAGGUGUUACAAGCUGCUCACGUGGGAGAAUGUUAAGUGAAAGACAAAAAAAAAAACUGAUGAGGGUCGUGUGACCAGCGUAAUGAGCUGCAAGAAUAUAAAUAACGAGCUCCACUUCCCUUAUGAAAUACCUGUCGCUCGAUGGAAGACGGCGCCGUGUGCUGUUUACCGGGUGAACUAUGAAGGACGACUGCUCUCUAUCUCUGUGAGCGUCUCUCAGUUAUGAGACCACAGAGGUCAGGGAGUUAACCUUCAGAGGCCCGAGGCCUGCAUGGAGCAUCAUAAGUGCCAUCAGGAUACAUGGCCUCAGCACUGCUGCGCAGCUGGAGGGGAAGAAAAAUGUGGAUGGUUGUGUGUGUGUGUGUGUGCAUGUGUUUACUUGCACAUCUGUAGGUGUCUGUAUGCAUCUGUCUUGGUACUGUAGAUACGAGGGUCAUGGAAGUAAGCUGUUUGCACACUGUCUGUAGAAUACCUUGACCUUCAGGACACUAUAUGUGCUGAC